UGGCUGUGAUUAAAAAGUUAUCCGCGCUUCUGAGGUUUUUUACAGUCGAUGAAGUAUAUGGGUAAAAUGGUUGAAUUUCUUAAUAUGAGCCA
rfam:Erythranthe guttata cultivar DTN x IM62 scaffold_52_contig_43, whole genome shotgun sequence.